rnacentral:misc_RNA from 1 species
GUGAAUCAUCGAAUCUUUGAACGCACAUUGCGCCCUCUGGUAUUCCGGGGGGCAUGCCUGUCCGAGCGUCAUUACAACCCUCAAGCCCGGCUUGUGUUAUGGGCGUCGUCCCCGUGUGGACGUGCCCCAAAUUCAGUGACCUGGGCCGCGAUUUCGGCGCCCGAGCGAAUGGGAUUACCACUAGCUCGAACGGCACGACCGGCCCCGGGUCCCCAAACCAAUUAUCAAGGUUGACCUCGGAUCAGGUAGGGAUACCCGCUGAACUUAAGCAUAUCAAUAAGCGGAGGA